rnacentral:rRNA from 1 species
UACGGGGGGGGGCAAGCGUUGUUCGGAAUUACUGGGCGUAAAGGGCUCGUAGGUGGCCAACUAAGUCGGACGUGAAAUCCCUCAGCUUAACUGGGGAACUGCGUCCGAUACUGGAUGGCUUGAGUUUGGGAGAGGGAUGCGGAAUUCCAGGUGUAGCGGUGAAAUGCGUAGAUAUCUGGAGGAACACCGGUGGCGAAGGCGGCAUCCUGGACCAACACUGACACUGAGGAGCGAAAGCCAGGGGAGCAAAGCGGG